GAAUAUUGGACAAUGGGGGCAACCCUGAUCCAGCCAUGCCGCGUGUGUGAAGAAGGCCUUCGGGUUGUAAAGCACUUUUAGUAGGGAGGAAGGCCAUAAGAUUAAUACUCUUGUGGAUUGACGUUACCUACAGCAAAAGCACCGGCUAACUCCGUGCCAGCAGCCGCGGUAAUACGGAGGGUGCAAGCGUUAAUCGGAAUUACUGGGCGUAAAGCGCGCGUAGGCGGUUAGUUAAGCUGGAUGUGAAAGCCCUGGGCUCAACCUGGGAACUGCAUUCAGAACUGGCUGGCUAGAGUACGAGAGAGGGUAGUGGAAUUUCCUGUGUAGCGGUGAAAUGCGUAGAUAUAGGAAGGAACAUCAGUGGCGAAGGCGACUGCCUGGCUCGAUACUGACGCUGAGGUGCGAAAGCGUGGGGAGCAAACAGG
rnacentral:rRNA from 1 species